UGGGGAAUCUUAGACAAUGGGGGAAACCCUGAUCUAGCCAUGCCGCGUGGACGAUGAAGGCCUUAGGGUUGUAAAGUCCUUUCGCUGGGGAAGAUAAUGACGGUACCCAGUAAAGAAGCCCCGGCUAACUCCGUGCCAGCAGCCGCGGUAAUACGGAGGGGGCUAGCGUUGUUCGGAAUUACUGGGCGUAAAGCGCACGUAGGCGGAUAGUUAAGUCGGGGGUGAAAUCCCGGGGCUCAACCCCGGAACUGCCUUCGAUACUGGCUGUCUAGAGUUCUGGAGAGGUGAGUGGAAUUCCGAGUGUAGAGGUGAAAUUCGUAGAUAUUCGGAGGAACACCAGUGGCGAAGGCGGCUCACUGGCCAGAUACUGACGCUGAGGUGCGAAAGCGUGGGGAGCAAA
rnacentral:rRNA from 1 species